rnacentral:snoRNA from 1 species
ACAUAAAAUGUGUACUUGCUGUAAAUAUGGACAAAGAACGAUUCUGUGGACUUUAGGUGGGUAUACGGUGAGUAUUUGGGUGCCCAUAAAGGAUCUACAUACAUGG